AAUCUAUAUAGGGGUAAAUUAGAAAAUGCAGGAAAAAAGAGCCGGCGCAACUUUACAAGUUGAUUGGAUAUU
ensembl:ncRNA F58B4.12 ncRNA